UCCUACGGGACGCAGCAGUAGGGAAUUUUCGUCAAUGGGCGCAAGCCUGAACGAGCGAUGCCGCGUGAGUGAAGAAGGCCUUCGGGUCGUAAAGCUCUGUUGCGGGGGAAAAAAGGCAGCAUCAGGAAAUGGGUGCUGACUGAUGGUGCCCCGCCAGAAAGUCACGGCUAACUACGUGCCAGCAGCCGCGGUCAUACGUAGGUGGCGAGCGUUAUCCGGAAUGAUUGGGCGUAAAGGGUGCGCAGGCGGUCC
rnacentral:rRNA from 1 species